GGCUAAAGAUUGUCCGUGGCUUAGGGAAACCGAUAAGUAUCCCACCUGGGGAGUACGCCGGCAACGGUGAAACUCAAAGGAAUUGACGGGGGCCCGCACAAGUGGUGGAGCAUGUGGUUUAAUUCGAUGAUACGCGAGGAACCUUACCUAGGCUAGAAUGCGCGUGACCGGCUCAGAGAUGAGCCUUUCCUUCGGGACACAAAGCAAGGUGCUGCAUGGCCGUCGUCAGCUCGUGCCGUGAGGUGUUGGGUUAAGUCCCGCAACGAGCGCAACCCCUAUGGUUAGUUGCCAGCACGUAAUGGUGGGGACUCUAGCCAGACUGCCUGCGCAAGCAGUGAGGAAGGCGGGGACGACGUCAGGUCAUCAUGGCCCUUACGCCUAGGGCGACACACGUGCUACAAUGGACGGUACAGCGGGUAGCUACCAGGCGACUGGAUGCCAAUCUCGAAAAGCCGUUCUCAGUUCGGAUCGGAGUCUGCAACUCGACUCCGUGAAGCUGGAAUCACUAGUAAUCGCGCAUCAGCCAUGGCGCGGUGAAUACGUUCCCGGGCCUUGUACACACCGCCCGUCAAGCCAUGAAAGUCUGGUAGACCUGAAGCUGGUGCUCGUCACAGAAGCCAGUUAGGGUAGAACAGGUAA
rnacentral:rRNA from 1 species